GAUACUCAUUUAGUCCAGAUAAGAAGUUUAACAGGGGGGAAAGACAGAAGUAAAGCUCAUGGUUACUUAUUUCUGUUUAUUUGCAUUACUCUUGUUCACCCAUCUCUCUGUUUGAGCCCAAGGCAGAGAAAAUUAUGACAGUCUAGAUUUUACAUUGGCUGUGAAUUAUAACAGGAAGGAAGAGAAAUGGGUGAAGCGAGAAAUAGUAAUUAUAGGAUCAAGCCCCAGACAUUGUAGAUAUAAAUGUGGGAAGUGCAGACCGUGCAGAGCAGUGCGGAUUCGCAUCGAGACAGGGAGCACAGAGGAGUAUUAUCCGGAGGUCUGGAGAUGCAAAUGUAGGGGCAAAAUUUUCAAUCCCUGAAUUAAACAAUGUAAUUCUUUGGCAUUGUUGCAUAUCAUAAUACAACUUGUAAUAAAUCCGAUAUGAUGUGUGAUAUGGGUAAUUUGUUUUUGUUUCUCGACACAAAUGUAUCGUUAAAUUCAUGAUUUAUAUGUUAUUUUU